CUACGGGUGGCAGCAGUGAGGAAUAUUGGUCAAUGGGAGGAAUCCUGAACCAGCCAUGCCGCGUGCAGGACGACGGCUCUACGAGUUGUAAACUGCUUUUGUACCGGGGUAAAAUGCUCUACGAGUAGGGUUUUGAAAGUACGGUACGAAUAAGGAUCGGCUAACUCCGUGCCAGCAGCCGCGGUAAUACGGAGGAUCCGAGCGUUAUCCGGAUUUAUUGGGUUUAAAGGGAGCGUAGAUGGGUUGUUAAGUCAGUGGUGAAAGUUUGCGGCUCAACCGUAAAAUUGCAAUUGAUACUGGCAGCCUUGAGUACAGUUGAGGUAGGCGGAAUUCGUGGUGUAGCGGUGAAAUGCUUAGAUAUCACGAAGAACUCCGAUUGCGAAGGCAGCCUACUAAACUGCCACUGACAUUGAUGCUCGAAAGUGUGGGUAUCAAACAGGAUUAGAUACCCGGGUAGUC
rnacentral:rRNA from 1 species